GUAAAAAUAAAUAGAUUAGAGCACAGCAAAAGAAGGAAAAGGGCAUAAAAAAGGCAAGUUUUUUUUUUUUUUUUUUUUAAGAAUGGUUCAGUAAAGUGUUGUGAAAGAAGAAAAAGCCUACUGGACAUGUUUUAACAAGUCCAGGAGACGGGCAAAGGAGGAGAAAGCAAAGUAGGGGGAAAACAGAGGUGGAGAAGAAAAAGGAGAAUGAACAGGUAGGAAAGCUGAGAGCUGCUCAACACCCUGCGAUGUGUCACCACAGCCAGUGCAAGGGACCCCAGAGAGCAAGCCCCAUCUCUGCCCGGACGAGUACACAGGGGACAGAGGCUGCUUCUUCCCCCGUCCCACGCAGCAGGGUAGUACAUUGCUGGACAUCAAUGCAUGCCUGGAUGGAGACUUGAGGCACUUCCACUGGCAGACAGAGUAGAGGAGCACAGAACUUCAGGUACACUGGGAAAGCAAUAAAAAACAGGUUAUUUUCA
rnacentral:lncRNA from 1 species